rnacentral:pre_miRNA from 1 species
ACAACAUUCGGCCCGGCGGUCUACCGAGCAAUUUCAUACGCUCGGUAGAAGAUCUUUGCUUUUUCGA